AGUUCUUCAGGGCUGUCUCUGUGAUCCAGGCUUUGAUCUGGGAAAGGUUGCGCCUCAUUGCAGAGUUGAAGCUAUCUGCCUGCUUUGUUUACACGAACGCCCUUCCAGGACUCUGUCUGCUUUUGGGGUGGAAGUGCCCUGCCAAAAACUCCAGCUCUCCAUGCUGGCUGUGUGGCCAGCAUACCUCCUGCCUUUUCAACGAUUCCUCUGCCCUGGAUAGAGAGCGGUGUCUCAUAACAGUUUGGAAACUACAAAAGUUUCCCUGGCAGGAUGAAUGAUUGACUCGGCAACAUGUUCUUGCCUUUUGGAGUUGCCCUCCAAUUUUUCCAGGCUUGAUUCUGUAAAUCAUUUCAUCUUGUAAAAAUACUGGGCUGUGAGCACGGAUGAUCUCAAAGAUGAGGAAACAGAAGCUGGGAUAUGUGAGUAAACAUUUCCAAGGUCCUGCAGCUAAUCAAUGGUUGACAACUUCUUUCCUCUGCCUAUGUUGCCAUCCAUGUCAUGGUUUGUGUCAAGACUCUAGGAGAAGUCUACCAUCAGCACCACAGCUACUGUGCACAAAUCCAGAAUGCCAGACUGAAGUCAGAAGGAAAGAGAUGAUGCAGCUCAUUGCUGAUGCUGAGAUCCAACGUCCAGUGCCUGAGUACCCCUGGAUUCUGAGCACUAGGGGCUGGACUGUGGAGACCAUCAGUUCAUAACAUCCUGUCCCUGCUCCCUGCUGUAGAUGACUGAGACCAGGGUUCUUAAACAAGGGAGAAGCACUCUCAUACCCCUAGAACAAGAUGAACAAAAGAAGGAGGAAAAAUCUUGACCUCCGUAAGAUCCAGGAUGGCACGUGCAAGGCACUGACACAGCAUCUGCCGGCAUCACUGACUCUCCUGGACCCCAGAAGCCCAGUUCCCCAGGCUCUGAAACCCUGCAGCAAUGAAAAGGAAGCACAGGCAAACCAUAAGGAAGAUAAUUUUUCUACUAAAAAAUAAAUAGAAAUGCAUCCUUAGAGGCAGGUUUCAUGAGGACACAGAGAAUCCGGUUUUGUGUGUGCCUGAUUUCGUUUUUCUGUCAAAGAGAUACAAAACAAUCAACUGAGUUAUCUUGAACUUACAAAGAUUAAAAAUAAUCAAUUCCUGUUACUAUUUUCAAUUUUUCCCCCAUUUUACUUCUUUAGGUAUGAAGAAAUGUAGCCUAUUAAAACCUGGAUUAAUAAAAACCUUUCAUUAACUUUUAGAA
rnacentral:lncRNA from 1 species